UGGGGAAUAUUGCACAAUGGGCGCAAGCCUGAUGCAGCCAUGCCGCGUGUAUGAAGAAGGCCUUCGGGUUGUAAAGUACUUUCAGCGAGGAGGAAGGUGUUGUGGUUAAUAACCUUAGCGAUUGACGUUACUCGCAGAAGAAGCACCGGCUAACUCCGUGCCAGCAGCCGCGGCAAUACGGAGGGUGCAAGCGUUAAUCGGAAUUACUGGGCGUAAAGCGCACGCAGGCGGUCUGUUAAGUCAGAUGUGAAAUCCCCGGGCUCAACCUGGGAACUGCAUUUGAAACUGGCAGGCUUGAGUCUUGUAGAGGGGGGGUAGAAUUCCAGGUGUAGCGGUGAAAUGCGUUAGAGAUCUGGAGGAAUACCGGUGGCGAAGGCGGCCCCCUGGACAAAGACUGACGCUCAGGUGCGAAAAGCGUGGGGAGCAAACA
rnacentral:rRNA from 1 species